AGCGGAGCUCGGCGGAGUUGAAUGGGACUUAGCCGAGCGGGACGGUGCUGCCGGGGGAGGAAAAGCUGUCACACUGGCUGAGAGAGCUUCAUUCUUUUUCUUUCUUACACGAGGAUUCAGCGAAGCAAUUGACCAGCGGCUCUGAGACACGUUUUAGAACAACUCGUUGUCUAUGCAUGCUCUGAAGCACCAGCCAUUGCCCCCACCAUCAUCUGAAACGGAUCUGGUGGCAUCUGAAGGGGUUUUGAGGGGAGCUAAAUUGCUUUGCCCAAAAUCAGGUUACAGAUCUGUAUUUGGCCUCAGCCACAAACCCUGACUGUGGGGGAUGCUUUGGUACCAGCAUGUGGAGCUGUUGGAAACCAAAUUCUUCAUUGCAAGUGGUUCAGAAUUGGAUUUCCUUUGGAAAAUGGGGACAAAACUCUCUCUGUGCAGAAGGAAGCUGUGGCUGGCUGAGCCCAAGACUCAGCAUCUGGAAGGGUUGGGAGCUGCCCCAGAUGCCUGCAAGCAUUCAGCAGAUCAGUUGAUCGGAGGAGAGGGAUCUGAUACACGGUUUGGAAUAACUUAUAGUGCAUCUGUGGGAGGUGUGAAGGGAAUCGGGAGUCUUGUCUACCUGGACAUGGAAAACUCAGCUGCCUUUCACAUGGUGAGGGAGAUGAUGGUGCAGCAGAGGAGCAGGUGAGUGAGGGAUGGGUCAGCCUCCCAAAAGGGCUGCUUGCAGCCCUGAAUGUUUGAAAUGCCUGAGAAUCCUUAGCAGGCAUUAAUCACCAUUAAACCCCAUAAGUGUUAACAUAUGGUGUUCCAACAGAGAAAAAGCUCUUAUUUUUAUCUAGAUAUUUAAGAAGGAUAUUAACAGAUGUGUAAAAAAAACCCAACACUUUGAAAUGACCCCCCCUAUCUCCUCUAUGUAAAGGCUUCUAGAAUAUAAAACCAAAUUCUAAGUAAAAAAUUGAAAUCUAACUGUAAAUUGUGUAUAUAUAAAUUAAAAAUAGUGGAUUUUC